CACGUAGGGUGCGAGCGUUGUCCGGAAUUAUUGGGCGUAAAGAGCUCGUAGGCGGUGUGUCGCGUCGGCCGUGAAAACCUGCAGCUUAACUGUGGGCUUGCGGUCGAUACGGGCAUCACUGGAGUUCGGCAGGGGAGACUGGAAUUCCUGGUGUAGCGGUGAAAUGCGCAGAUAUCAGGAGGAACACCGGUGGCGAAGGCGGGUCUCUGGGCCGAUACUGACGCUGAGGCACGAAAGCCGUGGGGAGCAAACAGG
rnacentral:rRNA from 1 species